rnacentral:rRNA from 1 species
AGGGAUUGCCCUAGUAACGGCGAGUGAAGCGGCAACAGCUCAAAUUUGAAAUCUGGCUUCGGCCCGAGUUGUAAUUUGCAGAGGAUGCUUCUGGCGCGGUGCCUUCCGAGUUCCCUGGAACGGGACGCCACAGAGGGUGAGAGCCCCGUAUGGUCGGACACCAAGCCUGUGUGAAGCUCCUUCGACGAGUCGAGUAGUUUGGGAAUGCUGCUCUAAAUGGGAGGUAAAUCUCUUCUAAAGCUAAAUACCGGCCAGAGACCGAUAGCGCACAAGUAGAGUGAUCGAAAGAUGAAAAGCACCUUGAAAAGGGGGUUAAAUAGUACGUGAAAUUGUUGAAAGGGAAGCACUUGUGACCAGACUUGGGCCGGGCGGCUCAUCAGGGGUUCUCCCCUGUGCACUCCGCCCGGCACAGGCCAGCAUCGGUUCUCGUGGGGGGAUAAGACCGUUAGGAACGUAGCACCCUCCGGGGUGUGUUAUAGCCUGGCGGACGAUACCCCCGUGGGGACCGAGGUCCGCGCUCCGCAAGGAUGCUGGCGUAAUGGUCACCAGUGACCCGU